UACGUAGGGUGCGAGCGUUGUCCGGAAUUAUUGGGCGUAAAGGGCUCGUAGGCGGUUUGUCGCGUCGGGGGUGAAAUCCACUGGCUUAACUGGUGGCUUGCUUUCGAUACGGGCAGACUGGAGGUAUGCAGGGGAGAACGGAAUUCCUGGUGUAGCGGUGAAAUGCGCAGAUAUCAGGAGGAACACCGGUGGCGAAGGCGGUCUGCUGGGCAGUUGCUGACACUGAGGCGCGACAGCGUGGGGAGCAAACAGG
rnacentral:rRNA from 1 species